rnacentral:misc_RNA from 1 species
GAUGAAGAACGUAGCGAAAUGCGAUAAGUAAUGUGAAUUGCAGAAUUCAGUGAAUCAUCGAAUCUUUGAACGCACAUUGCGCCCCCUGGUAUUCCGGGGGGCAUGCCUGUCCGAGCGUCAUUACAACCCUCAAGCUCAGCUUGGUAUUGGGCCCCGCCGACCCGGCGGGCCCUAAAGUCAGUGGCGGUGCCGUCCGGCUCCGAGCGUAGUAAUUCUUCUCGCUCUGGAGGUCCGGUCGUGUGCUCGCCAGCAACCCCCAAUUUUUUUCAGGUUGACCUCGCAUCAGGUAGGGAUACCCGCUGAACUUAAGCAUAUCAAUAAGCGGAGGA